GUAUCUGAUUCGAGCUCGGAAUCCGUGGGUUAUGUUGAGCAUUUAAACGACUUCGCAUAUGACGAUGAACCCCUCGAAGGAGAUGGUGACGAAACACAUACUCCAGAUGAUCCCGAUGGAACUCUCCCUGCGAUAUUAGAACAACGAAGUGAUGGCGUAAUUCCACUCGGUGUAUGUUUUAGAAAAAGCAUGAAAACAACGACCUAUUGCAAGUGGAAAUUACAAUGGUGAAACAGGAAC